CCUGCCUGGCGGCCUGAGGUGCCCCACAGGCUGCCUGUCUGUGGCGUCUUCUGCAAAGAAGCUCAAGGUCAGGAGGGGGCAAGGCUGAAGGACCAACUGCCAAGACAGAGAACAAAGAGAGGGAGAAAACAAGGGGAGCUCUGUACCGCUUCUAGCCCACAGGCUGUUGAUCAGCCAUCAGAAAGUGGACCAAGUAGCCAAAUGGAUACCCUGAAAAUUAAAAGAAAGGAUGUGUCAGAAGCGUCCAGGCUUCAGUGAGAUGCUCAGCACACAGCAAGUGAUUAUCAUGGUCGAGGAUAAAGAGGCAUCAAAAGAGUUGCAACUCUAUCUCAGAAUCACUGCCGCCCUUUGGAGAACAGAACUGCGACAUUCUGAAGGAUUAUCUUCAGUGUUUGCCUGAAACUAACAUUAAAAGUUUGAGCAGCACUUUAUGAGCUCAAAGAAUCCUUCACAGCAGAGUCUACAAAGCCAUUCCAACUACUUUUUUAUGUUUAGAUGAAAGACAGUGAAC